rnacentral:other from 1 species
GCCAAGCUGCGGGAGCGCGUGAUACGACUUUAAUCCCGGAGGCCGAUAAGAUACGCAAGGGAGCUGUCCCUGUCCUUGAUAACGGGUUCGUCCUGGGAUCUUGGGCAUUACGGCGCCCACCUGGUUUAACCGGGCCCUCGCGGAUAUGACUGUACACGGCUCCUGCGGCGCUUUU